AAGAUACUGAAUCUGGUGCCAUUUCCAUCGUCCCCGAGGCUGCUGUCUGUUCCGUCCUGAUCGUGGUCAUCGCCGUUGUCGUCAUCGUUGUUGUUUGUAGAAAACAGAGACGUGGAGAUAGAGGAUACCCUCAUAACCGCGUUGUCACAUACAUCCUUGACGCAGAAACAGACGGGGGCUACCAGGAGAUAGAAGAGAGAGGAUACGUUGAUCAGCGGUGAGUAUCUUCAUCAAUCUUCAAGU